rnacentral:rRNA from 1 species
GACAUAGGUGGCGAACGUUAUCCGGAUUUAUUGGGCGUAAAGGAUGCGUAGAUGGUGGAAUAAGUUAUUGGUCAAAGUCAAGCUCAACUUGGCGGAAGCUGGUAUACUAUUCUACUUGAGGAUAGGAGAGGUUGGUGGAAUUCCACGUGUAGCAGUGAAAUGCGUAGAGAUGUGGAGGAACACCGAUGGCGAAGGCAGCCCCCUGGGCUAACACUGACGCCCAUGCACGAAAGCGUGGGGAGCAAACAGG